rnacentral:tRNA from 1 species
GUGGUAGACUAGUGGUAGAGGUCUUGCCUAGCAUGUAUGAGGCCCUGGGUUCAAUCCUCAGCAUCACA